CCAGACUCCUACGGGAGGCAGCAGUGGGGAAUAUUGCACAAUGGGGGAAACCCUGAUGCAGCGACGCCGCGUGAGCGAUGAGGUAUUUCGGUAUGUAAAGCUCUAUCAGCAGGGAAGAAAAUGACGGUACCUGACUAAGAAGCCCCGGCUAACUACGUGCCGGCAGCCGCGGUAAUACGUAGGGGGCAAGCGUUAUCCGGAUUUACUGGGUGUAAAGGGAGCGUAGACGGUCCUGCAAGCCAGAUGUGAAAGCCCGGGGCUCAACCCCGGGACUGCUUUGGAAACUGCCCGGCUAGAGUGCUGGAGAGGUAAGCGGAAUUCCUAGUGUAGCGGUGAAAUGCGUAGAUAUUAGGAGGAACACCAGUGGCGAAGGCGGCUUACUGGACAGUAACUGACGUUGAGGCUCGAAAGCGUGGGGAGCAAACAGGAUUAGAUACCCCUGUAUG
rnacentral:rRNA from 1 species